UGCAUCUUUUUGUUAAAAAGUUGAAAAAAAUAUUCUCCAAGGCCAUAAAAACAUUUAGGGUCGGGCCAAAAAUUUAGGGUAGGUCGGGAUACCGGAAACAAACAAUUUUUUUUUUACGCCUUAUCUGGAGACGUAUUUCGCCGUCGGGAGAAGAACAUCAUUGGUGACGUUUUGUGGAACUCUGUGACAGUUUGAUUGUGUGAUUAGGACAAUUGCCUAGUGGGGCAUGUACCAGUAAAUGUGUUAUAGUGCUGUAUCAACUGUUGCACAGUUAAUACAGUUGCUGCACAGAGAACAGUGUGUUUGUGUGAGGUCAGAUGUCAGUAGAAUGUAGGAAACAAAGGGGUACUUGUGUUACACAUAAGACCCAACACUCUAUUACAGUGUUUUCAAGUGUAUUCCAUAUCCAAGAGAAUGAUGUAUUGUUUGUAUUAUUGUAUGAUGGACAGAAAAGUAAUAAACAUCUAGUAAACUA
rnacentral:lncRNA from 1 species